GAUGAACGCUAGCGGCAGGCCUAACACAUGCAAGUCGAGGGGUAACAUAGAGUGCUUGCACUUUGAUGACGACCGGCGCACGGGUGCGCAACGCGUAUAGAACCUACCCUGUACAGGGGGAUAGCCCGGAGAAAUCCGGAUUAAUACCCCGUAGUAAUAUAGAGUGGCAUCGCUUUAUAUUUAAAGUUUUAAUGGUACGGGAUGGCUAUGCGUCCUAUUAGUUAGAUGGUGAGGUAACGGCUCACCAUGGCAUCGAUAGGUAGGGGCCCUGAGAGGGGGAUCCCCCACACUGGUACUGAGACACGGACCAGACUCCUACGGGAGGCAGCAGUGAGGAAUAUUGGACAAUGGGCGAAGCCUGAUCCAGCCAUGCCGCGUGCAGGAAGACGGCCCUACGGGUUGUAAACUGCUUUUAUACGGGAAGAAUAACCACGACGUGUCGUGAGAUGACGGUACCGUAAGAAUAAGGACC
rnacentral:rRNA from 1 species